rnacentral:pre_miRNA from 1 species
AGUCUUCAAUUCCUCCCAGCCCGUACUAUGGUAAUUGUGAGUUGAGGCGAGUUGAAGACUAA